rnacentral:rRNA from 1 species
GAUGAACGCUGGCGGCGUGCCUAAUACAUGCAAGUCGAGCGAACAGAUAAGGAGCUUGCUCCUUUGACGUUAGCGGCGGACGGGUGAGUAACACGUGGGUAACCUACCUAUAAGACUGGAAUAACUCCGGGAAACCGGGGCUAAUGCCGGAUAACAUUUAGAACCGCAUGGUUCUAAAGUGAAAGAUGGUUUUGCGAUCACUUAUAGAUGGACCCGCGCCGUAUUAGCUAGUUGGUAAGGUAACGGCUUACCAAGGCAACGAUACGUAGCCGAACUGGGAGGGUGGUCGGCCACCCUGGAGCUGAGCCACCGUCCAGACUCCUACGGGAGGCCGCAGUAGGGAAUCUUCCGCAAUGGGCGAAAGCCUGACGGAGCAACGCCGCGUGAGUGAUGAAGGCCUUCGGAUCGUAAAACUCUGUUAUUAGGGAAGAACAAAUGUGUAAGUAACUGUGCACGUCUUGACGGUACCUAAUCAGAAAGCCCCGGCUAACUACGUG